rnacentral:lncRNA from 1 species
GGGAUUACAAAGGCCGCACCCGCACCGACGCACCCGGCACUCCCUGGCCCCCACCACGCGAUGGCCGUGGAAUGGUGGAAUGUUUUCACCCUUUCCUUCCUGGAGCUGGGCCUGAGGCCGACUGUCUCCGCGAGAAUGAAAUGCUAUUGUUCUCUCGCCUCUGCCUGGGUUUGGGAUUUGAGGAUGGAGAAGAUGCAUCCUCUCAUAAUUAAUUAA